CCUACGGGGGGCAGCAGUGGGGAAUAUUGCACAAUGGGCGCAAGCCUGAUGCAGCCAUGCCGCGUGUGUGAAGAAGGCCUUCGGGUUGUAAAGCACUUUCAGCGGGGAGGAAGGCGUUAAGGUUAAUAACCUUGGCGAUUGACGUUACCCGCAGAAGAAGCACCGGCUAACUCCGUGCCAGCAGCCGCGGUAAUACGGAGGGUGCAAGCGUUAAUCGGAAUUACUGGGCGUAAAGCGCACGCAGGCGGUCUGUCAAGUCGGAUGUGAAAUCCCCGGGCUCAACCUGGGAACUGCAUUCGAAACUGGCAGGCUAAAGUCUUGUAGAGGGGGGUAGAAUUCCAGGUGUAGCGGUGAAAUGCGUAGAGAUCUGGAGGAAUACCGGUGGCGAAGGCGGCCCCCUGGACAAAGACUGACGCUCAGGUGCGAAAGCGUGGGGAGCAAACAGGAUUAGAUACCCGAGUAGUC
rnacentral:rRNA from 1 species